UUGAAUUACAGCCAUCAUGGCCAUGACAGCCAUGAUAAAAUCACUAAUUCCGCUGCUCAAAAGAUAAAGUGAACUCCGAGCGAUGUAUUUAGUGCUAAGUCUGACAUGACGAAGGGCCCUUACUCUGUAUACUAGUCACUCGACCUUGAAGAUGGCCGAAUUACCAUCCUCGUCCUCCUGCCUAUAGCCUGAUAGCCUAGUCCUCCUUUAUUCAAAGGCUGCCCACCUUUGAACGCAUCAAUACCUUCCUGACAACUCUCCUGUCCGUCCUGAGAAAGGCAUCAUCUGUUGACGUGGAAAUAAACGAGGAACAAUGUGUUGAUCUGUUCCAGGAUUUUCCAAAGAUUUUUCUUGUUCAUUUCAAGUUGGCUGGAGUUGGGAGGAAUGAAUCUUUUGACCAAUAAAUAUCUCCGUUAUGAUUAUGAUGACCACCAGUAUGAGAGUGACCAACCUACCAUAGAGUUGUCACAUUUGCGGAGGUAAGACUGACGUGUUUGGAUAUAGACGUGAAAAAGUUUAAGCAGAUGCACCACCCAAUAUGAUUCUCCUCACGUUGACACGUAGGGUCUGUAAAUUUUACUAGAGCUUAUGAUAUGUUGAAGAAAGAGGACCGGAAGGAGUUGAUGUUUAUUUUAAGGUGUUUGUUAUUCCUAUCAAAUGACUCUGCUGUAACUUUUCUGCCAAGAGUGUAGAAAGUGAAAUAGGGAGGGGAUGCUGAAACCGGCCACAUGACAGAGAGAGCUGUAUUAUUUCCUUAAAAACAAACUGUGUUGAUAUACUGCUGUUGGAAGACAUUGAUAGUCCUGUAAACUAUUUGCUAAAUGCUAUUUAAUUGUAAUAUAAAUUGCAUGCAUUGCCAUUUUUGCUCCCCUCGGCAGCUGGUGCAGUGGAGUUGUGUCCGUCGUCGUCUUUGUCACGGCGCCAUAUGUUAGCAGCGCACAUUUCAUUACUUCUGGAAGUACUGAGCGAGUUUUUCAAGGUCAAAGAGGUCAAAAAGCAUCAAUUACCCAUUAUUUCUUUGAUCAGUUAUUGCUUUGAUCUAAUCUAUACUUGCUUUCAUGGAGAUAAUGCCAAGUUAAGGUAAAUGCCAAGUGAGUGACUUACCUUGUUUUUAACAACCAGGCACUCGACUAAUGAUCAUAUUAUCAUUAUUUCAAUAACAGAUACCUCUCUGACCAGCGUUUUUGGCUCACCAGUCUAUACAAUAGCCCAGUGUCUGGUGGCAGCAAUUGUGACAAUUUGGCAAAAAGAGGGGUAUGUUUCUUUAAACUCUUGGGCUUUGAACUUGGAACAUUAUACAAUUGAAGAGAAUCAUUCGUCAUGUAGUAAUCGAGAGAUUCUUCAAACAAUGACGAAGUAUUUGAGUGUUAAAGAACUAACCUCCCAAAUUUUUUAUGUCAACUGUCCAUCUCAUGUUGUGACCACUUGGUCCGUGAUUGAUUCCAUCGAGAUCAUUGACGAGGAGUCACGAAAACGCCACCGAAAGAUCAAGGAGGCAGUGCACAUACUACUUCAUAAAGCCAAGCUGAACCAAAACAAUGGAUGGGAGCUUCCUACCUGCCGCUGCUCCGCAAGGAGGCGGUGGGGGGGACCUAGACGAACUCAAGCCUUGGACCUAGCCUCGUUCCAAGAAUGAGACUAGGUCACUCCGUGAUCAAGAUGGACAGUUGACAUCGAAAACUUUGAGAUUAGUUCCUUAACUCUUUCAGCCCUAGCCGAUUUUGAUGCAACAACUUCCAGAUCCUACCCAAUUUUCGGGAAAAAUCAGGAUUUCGGAAAUUAUUAAAAAAAAAUCUACUACCCCUAUCACUAAUUGCUGGGCACCAUCAGAAAGGUCUUGAU